UACGAAGGGGGCUAGCGUUGCUCGGAAUUACUGGGCGUAAAGGGCGCGUAGGCGGAUAUUUAAGUUAGGGGUGAAAUCCCGGGGCUCAACCUCGGAACUGCCUUUGAUACUGCAAAUCUCGAGUCCGGAAGAGGUGAGUGGAAUUCCUAGUGUAGAGGUGAAAUUCGUAGAUAUUAGGAAGAACACCAGUGGCGAAGGCGGCUCACUGGUCCGGUACUGACGCUGAGGUGCGAAAGCGUGGGGAGCAAACAGG
rnacentral:rRNA from 1 species